AGGAGCCGUGCGAGAUGAAAGUCUCAUGCACGGUUUUGCAUGAGAGAAAGAAGCGAGGACUCCUCUUUUCGACUCUGAC
rnacentral:ncRNA from 1 species